UACAGAGGAUGCAAGCGUUAUCCGGAAUGAUUGGGCGUAAAGCGUCCGCAGGUGGUUUUAUAAGUCUGCUGUUAAAGCGUGUGGCUCAACCACAUACAGGCAGUGGAAACUAUAAGACUAGAGUAUGUUAGGGGUAGAGGGAAUUCCCAGUGUAGCGGUGAAAUGCGUAGAGAUUGGGAAGAACACCGGUGGCGAAAGCGCUCUGCUAGGACAAUACUGACACUGAGGGACGAAAGCUAGGGGAGCGAAU
rnacentral:rRNA from 1 species